AUAAGCAUUCAACUUUAUCAAGUGUGUGUCAAGUGUCGAGAAAGAGAAUACGUCUUUAGACAGCUGCGACAGAGCCUGGAAUAUGUAUCAAUAAAUGCAGUAGACACCCCACGAAAUUCGCCGAAUAAAUACAAAGCUGGAAAAUACGAAAGAAACCCUCAUACAUAUGUAUGUAUGCUGUGCGCGUGUGUGAUUGUGGUGCAUUCAAGGCUGAUAAAACAACACAAAAAAACAGAGCAA